rnacentral:tRNA from 1 species
GGCUUAAUAGUUUAGAUAGAACGUUAAAUUGCAAGUUUAGAGGGGUCGUUAAGGCUAAAGCUU